rnacentral:piRNA from 1 species
UAUAGUCGAGUUCCCCGAAUAUCAG